rnacentral:rRNA from 1 species
UACGUAGGGGGCAAGCGUUGUCCGGAUUCAUUGGGCGUAAAGAGCGUGUAGGCGGCCAGGUAGGUCGGUUGUGAAAACUGGAGGCUCAACCUUCAGAGGUCGACCGAAAUCAUCUGGCUAGAGUCCGGGAGAGGAGAGUGGAAUUCCUGGUGUAGCGGUGAAAUGCGCAGAUAUCAGGAAGAACACCCGUGGCGAAAGCGGCUCUCUGGAACGGUACUGACGCUGAGACGCGAAAGCGUGGGGAGCGAACAGG